AAUGUAACAACAGAUUAUCAUAGCAACACCAACUGGAAAUCAAUAUAAUUAACCCUUUUAGUGUCUCAGCAGACAACACCUGGAGCUGUCCUUGUCUUUGAUAGGUAUAUGUUUACUGUCCAACCACCUUACUCCAAUAUCCACAUUUUAAGUGCUUUCCUUGUCUUUUACCGUUAAAUCAUGGACACUUUACACCAGCUCAGUACAAUCUUUUUUUAAUGUCUUUUUUGUAAAUAAUGUCUCAGGUUUCAGGAUGAUCAGUAAAAACGUGAUAUAAUCC